UCAAAUGUUAUUUGAAAGAGGAGAAAUGAGAGACGAAAGGAAAGACCAUACUUUCCCAAGUUUAAAAGGGCUCAGCUUUUGAAUCUGUGAUUGGUAUAUCUUUGGCCUUAUGAGAUGAAUGAUGAGAUAAAAUGUGUGAAAAAUUAAACUUCUCUAGUGGCAAGUGUAAGUGACUCAGAUGUCCUCUACAAAACAACCUAUUGCAGUUUUUGCAUUAUUUACACUUUUAACCUGAAGACUGGUCACUAAGCAAUGCAUUUGAUGUCUGCUGAUUUGAGCAUUCACUAUGUGCACUAGGUAGUGAUGGUAUUGCAAAAGAAACAGCAAUAUUUUGCAUCAUUUUAAGAAAUCAGUACUGAAAACAAUUAAGCAAAUAAAGCAACAUGAUCUUUAA
rnacentral:lncRNA from 10 species